UACGGGGGGGGCAAGCGUUGUUCGGAAUUACUGGGCGUAAAGGGCUCGUAGGCGGCCAACUAAGUCGGAUGUGAAAUCCCCAGGCUCAACCUGGGAACUGCAUCCGAUACUGGAUGGCUUGAAUUCGGGAGAGGGAUGCAGAAUUCCAGGUGUAGCGGUGAAAUGCGUAGAUAUCAUUUGGAACGCCAAUGGUGAAAACAGGUAGCUGGGAGUGUGCUGACGCUGAGACACGAAAGCCAGGGGAGCAAACGGG
rnacentral:rRNA from 1 species